GCUUGCUUAGCUCAAUUCGGUAGAGCUUUGGUUUUGUAAACCAAAGGUUAUCGGUUCAAGUCCGAUAGCAAGCU
rnacentral:tRNA from 1 species